CUUCAAAAGUAACCAGAGAAGUUUUAAAGAUAGUAUAGGACCAAAUGCAAGCUGAUGAUGAAAGCACUGCUACUCAACUUCAGUAGCUUCUCGUUGAGAAAGGUCAUUCACUGUCACUGAAAACAAUAUUGAAGUCUCGCAAUACACUUGGUUGGACAUACCGUGGCAGUGCAUACUGCCAGAUCAUUAGAGGACCAAAUAAAGAGAAGCGAAUGAAAUUGGCUCAAGAUCAGUUGCAGGAGCACAGGACUACUGGUUUUUCUGAUGUACUGUACAGUGAUGAGUGUACAAUUGAAUUCGAAUCCCACAGGAGAUUUUCAUGAAGGAAAAUAGGUGCCCUCGAAACCAAAACCAAGAGCAAAACACCCCUAUAAGGUACAUGCAUGGGCAGGUAUAAGUUGCCAAGGAAAGACGCCAAUUGUGCUGUUUGAAGAAAAAA
rnacentral:lncRNA from 1 species